AUUGAACGCUGGCGGCAUGCCUUACACAUGCAAGUCGAACGGUAACAGGUCUUCGGACGCUGACGAGUGGCGAACGGGUGAGUAAUACAUCGGAACGUGCCUAGUAGUGAGGGAUAACUACUCGAAAGGGUGGCUAAUACCGCAUGAGAUCUACGGAUGAAAGCAGGGGAUCGCAAGACCUUGUGCUACUAGAGCGGCCGAUGGCAGAUUAGGUAGUUGGUGGGAUAAAAGCUUACCAAGCCGACGAUCUGUAGCUGGUCUGAGAGGACGAUCAGCCACACUGGGACUGAGACACGGCCCAGACUCCUACGGGAGGCAGCAGUGGGGAAUUUUGGACAAUGGGCGCAAGCCUGAUCCAGCAAUGCCGCGUGCAGGAUGAAGGCCUUCGGGUUGUAAACUGCUUUUGUACGGAACGAAAAGCCCUGGGUUAAUACCCUGGGGUCAUGACGGUACCGUAAGAAUAAGCACCGGCUAACUACGUGCCAGCCGCCGCAGUAA
rnacentral:rRNA from 1 species